rnacentral:rRNA from 1 species
CAAGAUGGCAUCAUGAGUCCGCAUGUUCACAUGAUUAAAGGUAUUCCGGUAGACGAUGGGGAUGCGUUCCAUUAGAUAGUAGGCGGGGUAACGGCCCACCUAGUCUUCGAUGGAUAGGGGUUCUGAGAGGAAGGUCCCCCACAUUGGAACUGAGACACGGUCCAAACUCCUACGGGAGGCAGCAGUGAGGAAUAUUGGUCAAUGGGCGAGAGCCUGAACCAGCCAAGUAGCGUGAAGGAUGACUGCCCUAUGGGUUGUAAACUUCUUUUAUAAAGGAAUAAAGUCGGGUAUGCAUACCCGUUUGCAUGUACUUUAUGAAUAAGGAUCGGCUGACUCCGUGCCAGCAGCCGCGGUAAUACGGAGGAUCCGAGCGUUAUCCGGAUUUAUUGGGUUUAAAGGGAGCGUAGAUGGAUGUUUAAGUCAGUUGUGAAAGUUUGCGGCUCAACCGUAAAAUUGCAGUUGAUACUGGAUAUCUUGAGUGCAGUUGAGGCAGGCGGAAUUCGUGGUGUAGAGGUGAAAUGCUUAGAUAUCACGAAGAACUCCGAUUGCGAAGGCAGCCUGCUAAGCUGCAACUGACAUUGAGGCUCGAAAGUGUGGGUAUCAAACAGGAUUAGAUACCCUGGUAGUCCACACGGU